AGCCCCCCCUUUGGAUGGCGACACCACGCGAGUCUGUCAACUCCCAACUUUCUUCUUUUUCUUCCAAAUAGGAAGCCGUCACUUUCACACUUGAUCAAUAACAAGUCGGCUGUUGUAUGCCAGGAUAUGGGCUCGCAAGAUACCGGCAGGAAUUAAAAAAGACGGUCCACCGCAGUGCUCUCUUUUUUGUUAUUCUUUCUUUGUGCUUAAAAACGUCCUCAUUUCACAUAUUUGCGUUAAAUCAACAGACUGACGCCCCGCGAUCUCCGUGCGCCUUGCAUUAAAAUCGGCAGUUGGGGUUUCAAAUGGAUUACUACAGUUGUGCAAGUCGACUUUCUAACGCACGACGAUUGUUGCAUUGGUAAGACAGCAUAGCCUGUGACAAAAGUAAAAGUAAGAUGGCGCAAAUUGUCCUCGAGCGACAACUGUGUGAGAAUAGUUUUGUAGGUGAGAAUUUUUUUUUUUUUUAAUCAUGUCGACGGUUUUAUGUUUUAAUUGUGAACGCGUGGUCGUCCACUCCGUGAUCACGGGUAUUUGCUUAUUUUAUUUUAUUUUAUUUCAAAUUAUUCUGAAAUGAACCAGUCGGAUAAGCUACACUGCCAGAAACUCAUGAACCCUCAAACCAGGGCAGAACAGUGCCAAGUGCACCGAAUCUCACCGGACAAACUGUUGUAAUCUCAUUUGAUCGCUGUAGAUGCAUUUCUGUUCCUGAAAUUCUAAAGAGUGUUUAAUGUACCGCGUUUAUCGUUAAUUAGUUAAAUAUAUUUAAUAAAGAUAAGUCCAGGCAUCAUUAUUAAAUAUAAUAAUUAACGGUCAUUAUUAAUAUUAUUAUUAUUAUUAUUAUUAUUAUUAUUAGGACAUAAAUAUCGUUCUUUCACAAGUAUGGAAUACUAACUUGGCUUCAAAAUAUGAGCUGAAUUUUAUUAUUUUGUUUAGUAUGUUUCAAACAUCUAAAAGCCCAUUCUCAUUCUGGUGACUUUCCAGUUCAAGUCUCAGAUAAGCCGAAAGGGAUCGCUGUAGGCGCUGCUAAAGAGUGUGUGUGCACAUAUUGUCACGUGUUUCUUACGUUCCGAAAACCUCUAGAGAGCAAAGAAUGAUGACGCUGGUACAGUGGGAGAAGACUCAGACUUACGAGGGAGAGAAAGAGGGGAAAAAAAAGAGAAAGAUGGAUACACAAAGCGAUCCUACAGUAUAGCCUAAUCAGAUGACAGUGAUACCAUGAGCCCUAGUUUCACAGCGCCCUGUAGUGAUUAGACACUCAAGUAAUUAUUGGAACUUUUCUCAUAAUAACAGCUACAAGGGGAGCAAUUCGAAUCAGCUGGUACUAAUAUAUAUAUUCGCUUUUUAAUUUACGUUAAAGUUAAAAUAAAGCAGCAGCGUUAAACAGCCUCCUUAUUAGAGACGUAAGUGUAUUUAAUAGUGGAGUGAUUGUGUGCCACGAGCGAUAAAAUUCCCACAACUGGAAUAUUGUGCCUUGUGGGUUGUUUCAUCCCGAAAUAUUUACUUUAUCUAUUUAUUUCAUAAGAUAUAAGGAAAAAAAAGUUUUGAGGGCCUAGGAUGAAGGGUCUGUGUCAUGUGUCCUCCUUAAUGCGUUUUGGUUCAGAGUUGCUCUCUGAAGUAGGAGGAGGACCCAUAAUUUGAGAUCACGGAGCCUAUAAUAGGAGUAGGGUUAUGGCAACUGCUACCGCCUCUCAGCACUGCUCCGAUAAAGGAGGAGGUAUAGGUGAGUACAGUUUUGUUCAUUUGUGUGUGUUUUUUAAAUGUAUUUGAACUACGCAAGUGUUCGCAAUAGUCUGAGUUUAAUCUUCAUUUAUAUUUUAAUUAUUCUGAUAUUAUCUGACUUUGUCUCUUCCUAUUCGCUAUCACUUCUUCUUCUUCCUCUUUCCCCCCUGAGUGAACUGCCUCCGUUUUGACGCAUGGAAACGUUUUUAAGUGGCAAAGAAGAAUUGAAUGAAAGAUGAUGCAUGCCACUUAAAAUGCCUGAGGGAGCAAGCGUAAUCUAAAUUGGAUAUAGAAGCUAUUAUUACACAACAUUAUGCGUUGUGGCGGACUAAUUGCGUGGCUGGGUGAGUUAAACAGUCAGUUAAUGUCGAGUGGCAGACAGGUUUCUGGAGCGCACAAGGUCAGCUGUACUGCUCCCAAGCCUUUAGUGGUAUACAGAAAAAUGCUUGAAGUAUUCAUGGGAUUUUUAACCAUUCUAAAUCUGUGUCCUAAACCGAUUAGUUGACACCAAUUUUUCUUUGAUGUAUUAGCUGAGGGCUUUUGCCACUUGGAAGCCAAUUGAAAUUCAAAACAGUUUUCGCUCCAAAUGCUGUGGGGAGAUCUGCUGCAAAUAAUGGAUGUAAUUUAUUUUUGACCUUGCUUUUUUUUUUUUUCUUUUUUUAAAAGGGAGGGUUGUUAAAUGAUUAAACAUAUGUGCACUACGCUCUCGACUAAACAACUAGCAUUUGAUUGGCUAUUAUUAGUUUUGCAUUAUAGAGCUGUAAAUUUCCAUAUUUCUUAAAGUGUUAUAUAAGUGAUAAGCAUGACUAAAAUUGUUAUUCCUUUUUUUUAAUACCCAAUUCACUCUUAAAAAGUUGCUGUUCCUGGUGUUAUUUUUCCUAAAUGAAUUAAAAAAAUAAUAAUUGACUCUUUGUUUUUGUUUUUGAAUCCCAGAUCCAUGUUGAUGAAGUCACCAAGCAGUCAGUGAAAUGCACCCUAACCUUCAAACACACAAGCACCCUUGCAAUUACAGCUUAAGUUAAACAACCUUGUUCACAUUUUGAAAUGAUAAUUAAAAAACACAUACUCAAAAAGUCAGUUCUGUGUUUAUAUAACUGUAAUAAUUUAUCCGUUUUUUAACUCUUUUAUAGUUUUUAAAUAUGCUGCAUUGCUGCUAUUCCCGUGAUUUUAUUCGAGAUAGAAUCCCUUAAUGUUUUACGUAGUAUCACCACUUUUGCUCAUACAAACUGAUGCCCAUGAUUCGAUGGGUUGAUUUGACUUUAAUAAUCAUACAAUUUACAUGAAGCACAAUAAUUCAAUAUGGCUUUCAGGGGAGAGAAUCUAUUUUCUGAUCUCCUUUCUGUUCUUGUGAUCUCUUUUUCUUUUAUUGACCUGAAUGAAGAUGUAUGGAGUGAGAGUGUGUGUGUCUUUGGUUUCCUCCUGAUGGGGUAUAUCAGCUCCCCCCUCUUCUCCCUACUCCCCACGAUCCCCGCAAGGCUGAAUGGCAGGCCUCUGGAUUGGCUAAGUGAUGAAAUGAUGACCCUAUUAUGGGAAGCGAUUCCAAAAUGAGAGAUAUCAGAAGAAGAUUACACCCCUCUCUCACUGCCACGCCAUCCUCCUGCAAUACACUGCCAGCUGCGCAGAUGAUGAUUGAUUCGCUUGAGAUGGAUCACAGGAAGCACCCAUUGAUUUUUCUGUGUUUUAUCAAAAAUAUUUAUUUACAGUUGUAUCCAUAGGGUGUAUCCAGACUCAACCCAUACUUCGUUCUCCAAAUGGGGGUUGGUAUAAAAGGGAUAAUUCCCCCUGUUCCAUGACAAGACGAAUGACCUGAAGUAUUAUUUCAGAAAUGAGUCAAUAGGCUCAGUGAGUAAAUGAAUAUUGAUUGGAUAUAAUGAAGCCUGAGUGUGAAUAUGAGCCCUGUUGCAGACUUCACUGCAGUGAUGCUGAUCCUCUCCAACUGAGUAUUUUGCAGACCUGCAUGUGCAGCUGGGACCAAAUACACCUCAUUCAGAGGGUGAAUCAACACACUCAGCAUUCAACUUUUCCUGUGUAUUUUGAUUCAUGAUCUGAGAGUGUCCAUACUUGACUCGCUUCUUAUCAGAUCUAUGGCUAAAUAGCAUGUUUAUGGUGAAGGUGCUAUAGGUGCCAUAUGGCAAUAAUCCAAGACUCAUGUUACUUAAAAGCUCUGGAGACAUGUAGGAGGCAUUUCUGUGUCACCUUUACAAAGGUAAACUGAUACAACAUACAAAUCAAAUGACAACUAGAAUGCUAAAACCACAGUGUGGGAGCUGUGCCCUAGAUAUUUGCACUGACUUAAUCCAAUUGAAAUAGUAUGAGUGAGUUGCAGGGGCUCCCAGGUCUGUUGCUUGCUUAUGUAUGUGAUGCAUAAUAGAAGUUGACGAGGUUGGUGAUAGAUCACAGCCCAGGUAAUGUAAACACAUUAAUCCCUCAGGGUUCAUGUGCAUGUUCUUUCUCUCCUUUUCUCUUAUAUCAGUCCCUCUCUCUCUAUCUGUCUCUCUCUUUCUCUCUCUUCAAGCCCUCAUCCUCCCCCCUCCACGUUCAUCAUCUUCCCUAAACGCGUUAGUGGAGCACAAACCAGAAGCAGCCUUAAUCUGUCAACAUGCCCUUUAAUUGGAGGGAGAAAACAACACGUGCUUCUGGUUAUGCCAUUCCUAAGUGCACAUGCCAAAGAAACACAGAGUUCAUGGAAGAAGUGAUCCCGGGAGAGCAGGGCAUAAUUAAAAGUAUCUUUUAAUAGGCUUGUAAUGCUGAGCCUGACUCUUGUUGCUUUAAGUAGAGGGCGAACUCUGUGGCUGGAGACGGACAUGCAAGGGGCUUCUGCUGAGGGAGCCUGUAAACGAUACAUUGCCUCGUCGUCAUCAGACAUGCAGUCUCUGCCUCAGUCACCACACUCGAGAUGACAGCCACUUUCCACCCCUGCCGCGGACACCUUGGCUUACCCGUUGCCGUGUUCUUUUGUUCUCAGAAUGAGAGAUUCUCCUCCACGACAUCACCUCUCCUCAUCUCCUUCCCAGCCACUUUGGCAAGUUGUGUUCUACCUCCUACUCACAGCACCAGCGGGGAGCGAGAACUGGGACUAAGGGGUUGAUUUGGGGCCUGCUACACUGUAAUCAAAUGAGACUGCUUAGGGGAGAGGAGAAGGAGGAGGUGGAGUAUUAUGUUCUGUCGUGCAUUCCACUGCAGCAUUGUUGCUUUUUUGUUUUUGUCAGGGCAGGCUUUGAUGCUGUAUCCUCUUACCUUUGUAGUCCCGGUAGCCAUGUUUCAUAAACACGGAAUGGGAAACAUCCUCAGCAUUAGAAAUUUAGAUUGCUGCUUUCCUCCUGCCACUCUGCAUUCCGCACGUGCCCGGUCGCAUUCUCCAUCUCCCAUUGCUGAGGUAUUAAGUUUCCUCUCCCAUGCCUCUGAUACAUUUAAACAUCUUACAAUCAGUCCCUUUUAUUCGGUGUGUCAUGUAUAAUCUGCGGAAACAACAAUGCCAACAUGGCUCUAUGUUGCUCUCGCUCUCUUGGUACUUAAGAAGUCUCCUGUCACUGUUUUGUUUCAGGACAAUUGCACAUGCAAAAUGCUUACUUGCUUUAAAUUGAGAAGUUGCUAGGUAUUCAAUUUAGAACUUGUCUUCAUUAUUAAGAGUGUAAUAUUAAUGUCAAGCUAAGAAAUCUAUAGUACAUUGCUUUCUUUGUAUUUUCACACAGGGAAUAGGCAGUGCGUGGUUGUCUUUGUAGUUAACCGAAAGUCUCAGUGGGAUAACAGUGUAUUAUAAUCCUUAAUCUAUCUUAACUCAUUAAAAUGCGGUGUUCAAUUCUGCUGCCCACGUUUUAUUGUCUCGUUGCAAUUUUAGUGAUAUGAGAGAAAUUUCAUGCAUAAUUGAAUAUUUAAAUGUCAAACAUUCACGAGAAUCAUUGCAAAAUCCUGAAAUUACUGCCACAUAUGGGUAUAUAAUAUAUACUUAAGAAAAAAAAGUUAGAUAAGAUGCAAAUCUAUAUUUGUCAGCAGAAUCGUCCUCUGUAACACACUGUGCCUCAGUUCUCUCUUUUCUUCUACCUCUUCUUCUUCUUGGAAAGUAACCAUUUUGUCCGACAUCUGACACACUGCCCUGGGUUAUUGAGCCAGACGUGGAAAUCCAAAGCGGAGAUGCUCUCCUUAAUGCCUGACACCUGGUGCAGAUUUGGAAGGGAUUGCACUACAGGUACUGUCUUACCUCUUCACCAAUCCCAGAAAGUCCCUUAGGUAUUUCCUUUUCUUUCCACGGCUGUGUUUGUUUCUACUCUUCUUUGCCACCCAGGUAUCAAGCCUCUGUUAGCUGGCCCCUGUGUUGGGAUUAAGUUCAGAAGGUGUUGAAAAUGAUACUUAUCAUCCCUUUGAUAAAUAUGAUUCUGAUUUGUUCAGGGUGUGCUUUACAAGUGGACGCUACUCAGGAGUGUUGCAGCUCAACUUACCGCUUGCAGUCACAUCUGCAGACUGUUCUGGAGCAGAAUGGCUAGCGAACAUAAACACAGCAAGGACAUCAAAGGCCGGCAGGUUGGGCUAUACCACCUGAGCAUGCUGAUUGCAGUGCAGUUCAGUAUCAUCUGACUAGUGAAAAGAGAAGAUUUUGUUGCACCAAGUUGAGACAUUUAACAGAAGGUUCCAACCAGAAUUUUUUGUUUGUUUGUUUAAAAAAUAAAUGAAUAAAUAAAAGCUCGAAACACAAGCCUUUUGGCCUAUGAAUGGCAAAUUAUAACUCAGUCCUGGAUAACUCAAGCAACACAGAUAAACUGUGAGCUGUACGCCACAAUAAUGUAACAGUCUUUCCUGGAUAAUAAUAUAAUAAGCAAGAUAAGCAAGUGCACACUUGGUGAGCUUCAUAGGCACACUGUUUAUGUUGACACAUGCAACUCUCUUCCUGAUGCAAAUGCAAUCUAAACAUUAAGCAAAGGGAAGGCAAGCGUAGCCCAUAAAGGCUGUGAGCUCCAAACACUUUGAACAGACAACUAUCACUAAUCACUCCCAGAGCAGUGCGGCGUGUAAUUACUCUGCCAAACGUUUGCCUUUCACAGCUUAGCACUGGGAGCCCUGACCCUGCGCUUCCCUGUCUUUCCUCACCACCGUGCAUGUGGAAGGGGAGGACCCCCACCACCCCCCGCCUGCUCCUCUUUCCCCUUUCUCUUUAGCAAGGGGAAAGGCAAGCUGAGCUCCCUCUCAGUAUUUAGAAAAAGAGUUGGGGGGGGAGAGGGGGGGAAAAAGAGAGGGAGAAAGACAGGAAGGGAGAAGACUGAGGUUGGUGCUUCCGGCUUUGUGGGAGCCCAUUUAAACAGGCUUUGAAACCCUAGCCAUCCGGAGAUCAGAAAUAGCCUUAUUGACUGCAUGGGCCCAGAAGUGACUGAGCACACAGGGUUCUUAAGAGUUCACUCUUCCUCGCCGCUUGGAACAGGGGGGUGGGCACCACAUGCUGAGGCCCUCUACAAAGAUUUUGGACAUAAAUUUUACAUCAGGAGAAAAUAUUAUUUUUACAGCUAUUUUUAGUGUCGCAUGGUUGUAUCUCAAUUUUUGUGCUGUUGUAUGAUUUGUGUGUGUGUGUGUGGUUUUUAUUUUAGUUAUUUUUUAUUUUAUUUUUUGGAGUGACAGACAUCUAAUUCUACUCUUUCCCUCAGUCUUAUUUAUUGAUAUUAGUAAUGCAGCUGUCAUUCUGCAAUGAGAUCUGUCCUCUGUCUGGGUGAAUGCUGAUAAGAUGACACAAUGCAAAUAUGAAGUGUGAUGGAGCCGCCUUGGCAAGCAGGUACAGAGUGUGCAGGGACCAGCAUCCCAUAAUGACUAUUAGCUGGAUUUCACAGCCUGCUUCUGAUCUCUUUCAGUGACAGGGGCCUUUAUAAGAGGCUGGGUGUGUCACUGCCCCUCCUAAUGGCUCUCAUAUACAUGUGCAUAUGCACCCAAAUGGCAGAUACACAAAGAGGAAUAUUAUACAAGACACUGUACAAUAAGUUUAAUGCUAUUUGGCAUCACUGUGGACUUUAAAAAAACAAAGGCAAUUUUUUGUAUCACAGAAAUGGUGAUAGAUUUUCUCCUUUUUUAUUUUUUAUUUUUUAUGAAUAAAUGAAAUGAGAUUGCUAUAAAUUUUAAGCUGGCCCACUGGCACAAUGAAACUGAACUUCAUAGUAGAAAUGAUCCUUUCAGCAUAUUAUCGAUACAUAACGUAUCUUUAUCUUAAUUUCACCACUAGUCAUCUUUACCAUAUUGUCAUAUUCUUCACCACUGCUGUAAAGGCUCAUUUAGACUCGCAGAAGCUUAAAGAGCUCUCUCAGUUGCUGCUUGUAUAAGCUUUUCAGAGAGUCCCGUUUUAUCACUGAUGUAGUAAUUUCACUUCAUCAGUCAGUUGUGACUAAAAAUACAUCAGGGAUUAGCUUCAUGGCCAGACUAUCUUCCGCUGCUUUGAUAACAUAAUGGGGGCUGGUGCUUGUGGUUACAAUCAUCUGAUAUAGGUUCAUAACAUUCGAAACUACACUUACAAUACUACGGGCUUUUUGAAAGAGAAGAAUAGAGUGUGAUCUUCUUAAACUCUCAUGAAAAUUGUGUGUUUUCCCUUUUAAUUCCUUUGUAGGAGCAUUUUGCAAAGAUGAAAAUGGCUCCCACCCCCACUCGUUCCCCUUUCCAGUUUCUAUUCUACACAAAUUAGCUAUGGUCCUGGAGGGCAAAAUGACAAGAGGUUACUGGAAGACUAUGUGUUUAAUUAAUUGAAAAAUGCUUAAAUUGCUUUUACAGUUGUUAUGUGGAGUGAAAAAAGGGAAUCCAUGUUGCCAGUACUCAACCAUAAUUAGCACCCGCGGGAAUUAAAUAUUUAGCAUUAGCUGUGUUGCGGCACUUAGGACACAAAUUUCUAUUUUAACUAUGAAAGCGAGCCUGUCUUAAGUGCAUGAGUCUGUGUGGACAGCUGUGCAAAGGGGAACAGCACAGGAUAUUUCAGCGAGACACCCCAGUGGCAUUUCGGGUCCUUCCACAUCACAUGUGUAAGAGAUAUGGCAGUUGUAUUCCCAGGGGUUAGGCAUUACUCAGAGUAUUUAGUUUUCUAAUUAGGCUGAGGGCCUUCGUCCAUGCCUACCACCACCAUGGGAGCCAAUGAGAAUUUCCUCUCUUAUGUGUCAACUCUGAGACACAGAAAGAGGGGGGAAAAAACAGGAAUGAAAAGAAGGAGAUAAAGAGGACGCAUGUGUGAAAAUGAGAGAGAGAUGUACACACGGUUGAGGGAGAAAUAAAAGACCUGCAGAAAAGCCUUUGUUUAUUCCAACUUUAAUUACACAUUGCAUUUAAUGACUCCACUGGUGUGUUUGAGGCUGGAGAGGGAGAAGCUGUGGAGCCUUAAUGAUCUGUAGUAGUGGAUGUCAGCCGAGCCGUUGGAGACUUAAAGCCCAUUUUUAAAACUCCCUUUUUGUUUGGGCCUAGAGGCGACAGCGCAAAUGGAGUUCAUGCUAAGCCACACUAGGCUAGACUUAGGGACUACUUCACUGUCUGGUCAGCCAAUUUCACAAAGGGCCAGGCCAUUUGGAGGCAUCAGCAGCUGACCGCAGCAACUGUUAAACUUGUCAGUGUGCAUCAGGUUACCCACUAAUGAGAAGUAAUAAAGGUUAUCCCAACUUUUUAAGUGUUUGAUCUUUGUGCGCAGUGGGAUUUAAACAUAACGUGUGGAAGGUGAACCAAGAUUGGAAUUGGAAUUUGACCCCUAUGUUAUGUGUGAAUGAGGAUUUAGAAAUAGACACAAAUAAUUAAAAGCUCAAGCUCUGAAACUUGGAUGAAUAGUUUUAGAAUGUAACAUAUUGUGCACUUAACUGAUAUAUCGUGGAUUAUUACUUUUUGUGCAGGGAUGCAGGAUUACAGGAUUACAACCAGACUUGAAGAUUGUCUAAAAUCAUAGUGGUCAACAAUGUUUUCUGCCAAUAUACAACAAUCGGGCAGCAUAAGCCGUAUUUUUGAGAAAUUGCAUCUCGCUCUGGGGAAGCUGCAUUUUUACUAUAAUGUACUAAUGCUGGAUUGAAUCACUGAAUCAUGUUCAAUUAACACAACUGAAUGUAUGACCCUUUGAGAUGCAGUGUUAUUUGUUUUGACACACAGCUCUCAAAAAACGUACCCACCCCAUCUUCAGUGCAGAACGUUAAAACCCCUUGUUCUGUAAAACAAAUUCUCCGGAUUAUUCAAAGCUGUGAGAAUUAAGAUGGAAAAAUCCAUGCGUAAAAUUACCGUCCAUUCAACUUGAGGCAAUAUUUUCCUCUAGAGGCAAAUAUGUUAAUUGAGCUUCCUAAAGUAGCUCAAUCCUCAGGUUAUUUAAUUUCCCCAAAAGCCUUAGCUGUGCUGGGGUUGGUGGGGGGUGGUGAAUUCUUUACACCAGCAAUAUUGUCAUCAAGGGAAAAAUAGCAGCAAUGAGAAGAAAUGGAAAAGAGCAUACUGGUGGAGGUUGAAUAACUGUUAAGUCAUGAGGUAUAUAUAUAUAUAUAUACACAUAUACAUUAUAAAAUGAAUCAUGAGAUAAUGCAAAAAUUUCACUAAUGUUAAUGUAAAAGCAAGCUGCUAAAUCACUAGUUUUCUGCCAGAAAAUACAGUUUUGAAUAACUCUAAACUGAGCUUAACCUGCCAAAGAAUCAUCUUCAUAACUGUCAUGUCAUCUAAUUGCUUCUGUCUGUUUUCCCCAAAGGCUGUGUCCAGUUCUGUCACUGGUCCUUAGUGCUCCAGCAGCCUGGUCAAAAAGACAUCCUGGCAGGGUCCCAGGGUGGAUGCAUCGCCCACGCACGCUCCUCUUGCCAGAUCCCAGAAGUCUUUGUGGUGAACCACUGACCGUGCUGCUCCCUAUUUUCUUCCAGCCCAGCAAAUAAUGUGUCAGAAAAAGAUUAUUGAUAGCCCAUAAAAGAAGAGGCAGAAUGUUGUUGCCGCUCUGCUCCAACUUUAAAGAACAAUACAAGUGCUAAACCAUCAGUUUCAAUGGUGCACUGCUCCUGAAAGAGCACAGCAUUUAUUUUUCACAUUGUUGUUCAGUUUGAAUAAAAGGUGCUACAACUGGAACAUGAACAGACAACAAUUACUUCUAUUUUUUAAAUGCUGCUUCAUUUUCCUUUACAUUUGAAACCUUGUAGUGAGGUUGGCAACUUUGCACUGUCUAUUCAAAAGAAAAAUGAGAUCCCUCAAAAGGAACAUUUAAAUUUUCUCCAUGCUCCGUUGAGUCAUUCGCAUUUUUUGCCAACUUUACCAGACACUGGCGAAGCUGUUGCUCAUCUGGCCUAAAUGUGGCCUGAGUGGGUGAUUCUCAGACAGAUGAGGGAAGGUAUAUUUACAGAAUUAACGAUGCACUCCAUCGGCCACACAACAGCUGCCUGCUACACUUAGCUAAUUGAGACUGCAGGCCCAUUCCCAUUUGCAGAGCACCGUGAUUGAACAGUUGGGCAGCUUUAUGUGUGUUUUUGGUCUCCUCGCGCUCGAAAUCAACACUGACACUCCCAUGCAAAAACAAACACUUGUUCAAGCUGACUGUGUUGUGGCACCGCUUGUGAGAAGUCUGCCCUUUUUGUUGUUCAGUGUUUCACUUUUAACAUUGUUCAUCCGUCUUAUCAACAUGUUUGUUUUCAGGGAGGCAGCGCAUGAUGUGUUGGAGAGAUAGAGCAAGGUUCAUCUCAGCAGUAAUGCUGUUAAAUGAGAGAAGGAGCGGGUGUUUCAAGUCUGUGUGUGUAUAUACAACACUGUUUUGCUGUAAAAUCUGUGUUUAUGUUCACUGCAGGCAUAAUUCACAGUGUGUGUUAAAGGGCUCCGGGCCAUGCAGGCACGCGACUGGCAGCUUUUUCUCCCCAUUGUAAGAAAACAGGAAAAAAAAGAAUAAAAAAGGAGUUUGGAUAAAUAA